UACGGAGGGUGCAAGCGUUAAUCGGAAUUACUGGGCGUAAAGCGCACGUAGGCGGUUUGCUAAGCCAGCUGUGAAAUCCCCGGGCUCAACCUGGGCACUGCAGUUGGAACUGGCAAGCUAGAGUAGGGUAGAGGGGUGUGGAAUUCCAGGUGUAGCGGUGAAAUGCGUAGAUAUCUGGAGGAACAUCAGUGGCGAAGGCGACACCCUGGACUCAUACUGACGCCGAGGUGCGAAAGCGUGGGGAGCAAACAGG
rnacentral:rRNA from 1 species